UGAAAUCAAGCAAGAACACCCGCUGAACUUAAGCAUAUCAGUAAGCGGAGGAAAAGAAACUAACUAGGAUUGCCCCAGUAGCGGCGAGUGAACAGGCAAAAGCUCAAGUUGAAAAUCCUUGGCACAAAGUUAAGGAAUUGUAAUCUAGAGAGGAUGUUCGGAGGGGAUGGUCGUAGCAUAAGUUCCUUGGAACAGGACGUCAUAGAGGGUGAAAACCCCGUAGUCGGCUACUACCGGAUCUAACGAGUGUUUUCGAAGAGUCGGGUUGUUUGGGAUUGCAGCCCUAAAUGGGAGAUAAACUUCUUCUAAAGCUAAAUAUUUAUGGGAAACCGAUAGCGAACAAGUACUGCGAAGGAAAGGUGAAAAGAACUUUGAAAAGAGGGUUAAAAGACUUGAAAUCGUUGAGAAGGAAGUGGUUAAAGAGUAAUCAUUUGUAUACGAUAAAUGUUUCGCUUCCCUGGCUUUGGCACGCUUUAGUACUUCAUAGGCUGUGUGUGUCAAACGUUAGGUAGCUAGGCUGUCUUCGUGUGCAAGAGGCAACAUGAAGUUUAGAAUCGGGAAUAAAUUAGUAGAACGACCCAGCAAUGGAGUCUAUUAAUGAAACCGGCACUGAGCUUGAGGGGCCUGAGGGCGAUGUUGUCAAAAUGGCUUUAACUGUCCCGUCUUGAAACACGGUCCAUGGAGUGUAACCUACGCGCAAGUGUUAGGGUGGAAAAACCCGAACGCAUAAGGAAACUAAGGAUAAGUUGUUUACAGCAACAGCGGACCUAGCGUCUCUGACAAAGGGCUCCAGCAAGAGCGAGUAUGUUACGACCCGAAAGAUGAUGAACUUUACUUGAGUAGGGUGAAGCCAGGGGAAACUCUGGUGGAAGCUCGCAAGAUCUUCUGACGUGCAAAUCGAUUUCCAAACUUGAGUAAAGGGGCGAAAGACUAAUCGAAUCAUCUAGUAGCUGGUUCCCUCUGAAGUUUCUCUCAGGAUAGCUGGAACAAACCAAGCAGUUUUAUUAGGUAAAGCGAAUGAUUAGAGGAAUCGGAGCUCAAAGAGUUUUGACCUAUUCUCAAACUUUAAAUUGGUAAGAACCGGGGGUUAACUUAAUUGAACCUCUGGGCAGAAUGCUUGUUCCAAGUGGGCCAUUUUUGGUAAGCAGCAACUGGCGAUGCGGGAUGAAC
rnacentral:rRNA from 13 species